UACGAAGGGGGCUAGCGUUGCUCGGAUUGACUGGGGCGUAAAGGGCGCCGUAGGCGGUUCGUACAGUCAGACGUGAAAUCCUGGGCUCAACCUGGGGGCUGCGUUUGAUACGUGCGGACUUGAGUGCGGAGAGGUCGUGGAAUUCCCAGUGUAGAGGUGAAAUUCGUAGAUAUUGGGAAGAACACCGGUGGCGAAGGCGGCGACCUGGUCCGAUACUGACGCUGAGGCGCGAAAGCGUGGGGAGCAAACAGG
rnacentral:rRNA from 1 species